UGACUUGUAACAUGAAACACGGGGAGAACAUACAGCGCAUUGUUGCUUACAAUGAAGCGCACAGUUGCAAUAUCCUGAUCCCACAUAUAUAUAUCCACACCUCCACUUCAUGUACAUAUAUGGAAUACCUACAGAGUACAGACUACAGUUAUCUCUUUUUUUUUUCAAGGGAACAUACUACAGUUAUCACACACACAAUUGCUUUUGCACCUAGAGUCAGAGAUCAAUAUGAGUAGCAAAUUCCUCGCCAUAUAUCUCCUGCUUGCUUUCCUCAGCCAUGGCACCUGCAGCUACAUGGCCACCACAGCUUCAGGCUGGGAUGACCACGACUUCUUCAGGCAUUGUCCACCGUCCCGGUGCAGCAAGGAUGGACCAGAGAUCCGUUUCCCUCACCGGCUUGAAUCCAGCAAUACAUCAUCAGCAUGCCGCGCUUCAUGCGCGAGGCUAGCAUGCUCUGGCCAAGACACCAUCCUACAUCACCCAAUUCUGGGGCCUUGCAAGGUCACCUCCAUAGAUUACAAGGAGGCCGUCAUCAACAUCAUCCAUCUCCUUCCGUUUCCAUGCCCUCUCCAGAAGCUCAUGGUCGACAGUUUACCGCCUGAUGACUACCAUGGCUGUAACUUAUACAGGAGGAUUCCUGCAAAAAUAGUAAGCUGCUCAAAAGAGUUUACACCAAGUGGUACCUCUCCAGUUCCGUACGAACUUGACCAUCUCCAGAAUGCUGCCGAAAAUAUCUUCGGCCCAAUAUCCUGCCUUAGCGGCACAGGACAGUACUUCUCAUAUUUGGUGCAUGCUCAGCUAUACAUGUAUUUGCUUCCAUUGGAUUGCAGGAUCGUCUCCAGAGGCUCCAUUCCAAUUCCUGGCUCAGACUCCUGCAGUGGCCCAACGUUCAAGGAAAAAGCAGAAAAAUUCAUCAACUUUGCUGAGACGACUGUCAGUUGGGGGUCCUUUCAAGAUGGAGUUCUCGACAACUGCAUGGCGUGUGAACGUCAAAAGCAACUCUGUGCAUUCAGCUCACGAAGGAAUCAAACAUUCUGCACAAGCCACGGCAAUCAUCAUGGUACUAACUAUCCUAACUGCACAAACAUGAUCGUACCACCCAGCUUUGUUCCUGAACUAGUUUUCUACUCUUACUAUGAUUCAAGCAUUCAGCCAUACAGUACUAGUGCACCGCUCUCAAUACAUAUGCUCAAAACUAUUUUUGCAGGCUAGUAGCCUACUACUAGAAAUCAUUUAGGGAACUAACUAGCUUCAUCAAACAUUUUUGCACAAUUGCCAUAAAAGUGUCACAAUAUUUAGUAAAAUAAUGAUAGAAUUAUCUUGAUCAACUAGCAGCAGUUGGACGAUACAUGACAUUAAAGAUCAUAAAACCUGGGACUUCUCAAAGAUAUUUGCUAGAAUUGAUAUUGUCUAUGAACUUAUUGAGACUGCCUCUAUAAGACUUCCUUAUGGUUUCCUCUAGAAGUAGAAAGUAGCUCGAAUAUGUAAACAAGACUGCAAGGGAACACUUGACUGGGACAAGAUAUAAUCUAAGUUUUUUUUUAUUUUUUUGCCAGGUCGGCGAAAGGAAGCCGACCAAAAUUCAUUAAGAUAAAGGAAUAAUUACAGAGGUAUACACGAUAUAAUCUAAGUUUUGGUUUGUUACCUGAUAUAACAGGAGCUGCAGUUAGAUCUUUGGUUGCUUUGAUAAUAGAUUAGUAGACAUGGGAGGUGAUAUGUGGAAGCCUUUAUAAUUUAGCCCAUAACCCACCUCAACUCAUCCUAAUCAUCCUUAUCUGGCAUGACAAAAAUACGAGAGUUAGCACACAGAACUGUCUUAUGAUGAUACUGCAAAAUAAGAUGUAAGGAAAAUUUCACUAUUGCAAAUAUAUUCAUAUGAUCAUGGUGCAUAAAAAUUUAGAGCCAAAACUCUAUCCUACCCCACCAGGGCCAUGUUCGCUGAUACAUUUUGUUGGAUUGCUCUGUUUUUAUUUUCAAGAUGUAAUUAUCCAUUAUCUGUUAAAACCACCAACCAGAACUUAUUAUCUUCGUUCAUACUUGCAGGUUAGCGUGUGAAAGUCAUUUCAGGUACUGCAGUACUCAAACCUACCUUUCUAUUAAAAAGAGAAAAGAAACAAUGUUAUCAGUACAUAUAAAUUCUUAUUGCUAGCAGUUCUGAGUCUUCUGACUCAGCAUUCUUCUGCUAAAAAAGACACCACCUGCUCUUACAGUACCCAUCAGGCAAUCACAAUCAGUUGAUUACUAGCCACAACUUUCGAUCCUAAUGCAAUGUGCUAAUUUCCCCUUCUCUGUUAAUUCAGCUACAUCAUCGGUAGCCGCAUUUGUUGUUUUUUCGUUCAUCAUGGCCACAGCACUCUAUCUUUCACUGAAGUCAAGGUAUGAUGAAGAGGUACAUUUGAAGGUUGAAAUGUUCCUCAGGACAUAUGGCACAUCGAAGCCCACAAGGUACAGUUUCUCUGAUGUUAAGAAGAUAACGAGACGCUUCAAGGAACAAUUAGGUCAGGGUGGAUUUGGAAGUGUAUACAAAGGACGACUACCAAACGGAGUGCCUGUGGCAGUUAAAAUGAUAGAACACUCUACAGGAAAUGGAGAAGAGUUCAUCAAUGAAGUAGCAACAAUUGGACAAAUUCAUCAUAUAAACAUUGCCCGCCUUCUGGGAUUCUGCUCUGAAGGAACACGGCACAUUCUUAUCUAUGAAUUCAUGCCUAAUGAAUCAUUGGAGAAAUGCAUAUUCUUGCAUGACCCUAAUACUUCUCAAGAACUCCUAGCACCAAAAAAGAUGUUAGAUGUUGCCUUAGGCAUUGCCCGAGGAAUGGAGUAUCUUCAUCAAGGAUGCAACCAACGCAUCCUCCAUUUUGAUAUCAAGCCUAAUAAUAUAUUGCUUGACUAUAACUUCAAUCCGAAGAUUUCAGACUUUGGUCUUGCAAAGCUGUGUGCAAGGGACCAAAGCAUUGUUACCUUGACCAAAGCAAGAGGCACGAUGGGCUACAUUGCACCAGAGCUAUAUUCUAGGAACUUUGGGGAGAUAUCUUACAAGUCAGAUGUAUAUAGUUUUGGCAUGCUUGUGUUAGAAAUGGUGAGUGGAAGGAGAAACUCAGACCCGAGUAUUGAGAACCAAAAUGAGGUCUACUUUCCAGAGUGGAUCUAUGAGAAAGUAAUUACUGAGCAGGACUUUGUACUUAGUAGGGAAAUGACAGAAGAAGUAGACUGAAGGUUAGACAGAUGGCCCUCGUGGCACUGUGGUGCAUUCAGUGGAACCCAAGAAACCGUCCCACAAUGACGAAGGUUGUAAACAUGCUAACUGGAAGGUUGCAGAAUAUAGAGGUGCCCCCUAAGCCAUUUGUUUCAUAUGAAAGCCAUGUUGUGCCAUAAAUCAUAGUAAUGUUAUGGGAGUUAUACUUAGUUGACGUGCUGCAUAGUAAUGCUGAUUAACUGUAUGAAGUAUGAAUCGUCGCUCUUUAUUACCAUGUAUUAAAAGUAAUAAGAAACACAUCAGUUGAUGUGAUUACCUUGUUCAGUUGUUGCGAUGUAUAUCUCCAUCCAACCACGGUGUGCAGAGUACUCCUCGCUGUACUAUUUCAGUAAGAUGCCGUCCUCGUCCGUUUCAUGGGUCCAUAUCUAGUGGCUUGCAAGAAAAUCCUGCAAGGAAAUUGAAUUAUGGCAAUUUUUCCCAUGCAGCACAAAUAUAAAAUAUCGAAGCAAAGAGUAUUAUUUUUGUCUGUUUGUCCGUGCGAACGGCCGACUAGGGUAACAUUCAUACCCUGAAUUCGUCACUGAAUAAAGAAGUAGAUUCAUAUCCUAAAUUCCUCACUGAACUAAGAAGUAUAAUAAGUUAAGUUGGCUUGGUCACAUUCCUAUCCAUCCCAUUCAAAAAGUCAGGGCCCGCCUAUCUAUCUGAUGGAAAUCUCACAGCAAACAGGAUGCUGCUGGGCAAGCAAUCGAGGAGCUACGAAUUUGCAAUGUGAAGAGAUGAAUGGGCAUGGACUCGACUAGUGAAUAAGUACACUUUAAUAAAAACUUAGGAAAAAUAAUCAAAAGCAGAGGAAACGGGCUACCUUUAUCAAUGCAAGGAGGGGGCAGCGAACCGAACAACCACCGGAUCAGGAGACCUCCCCGAGUUCUGUCAAUCCUGCGGCUCGGCGUGGCAUCCCGCUUGGGGCCUGGAUUUGCGGCUCGGGUCUCACAAGGACGCAGGGAGAAGGCGACGCAUAGCCCGGGCAACGCGCAUUGACGGCGGAGCGCAAAGCAGAGACAUCGCCGGGGAAGCAGAGGCGGCUGGGAGUCGGUGGGAUCGCCGGCGACGGCGAAGGGUUCGUGGCAAGAGAGGGAGGAAAGGGGAUUCCGUACGGUUUGCAACCAGAAACUAAGCUCGGCCUAGGGCUAGUAAUGGGGCCGGCCCUAAAGCUCCUGCCGCUAAUGGGCCUUUAUUUGCAUUUGGGCCAAAAAUGACCUGCGGGAGGCCUGUCUUCUUUCUGCUCGUGGAAAAUUCCAUGUAAAUCGACCAUUUGUUUUUUUUUUAGAGAAAUGUACCUUUACCCGGCCUCUAUAUCCAACCUGAUAUAUGUAGCCUUUUUACAUUAGAAAUUUAGCUCUCAAAUAACCCAAUCUGAAAUUCGCUUCUAUAGAGAUUUGAACUCAGGAUCUUGGGGUGUUACUCAGGUCACGGCAACAACUAGGCUGCAUUGUGCUUAUACAAAGCCAAAUUUUAAAUUUUAAAAACUUAACUUUGAAGUAGAUUUCGUGGUUUUUUCACGAAAGUUUAUUUUAUAGAAUUUACUUUUAAAUCGCUAAGAACACGUAUAUAAUUUUUUUUACCUACAAAUUAUUUUUCUAAUUGCUGUAAUAAAUCAUACAAAUAAGCAUAUGGAAAAGCAAAAUAUGAAUCGGAAUCGGGAAUCGCUAGUCAGUCACGUAGGAAAGAACAUAGCAACAGUGCCGACCAACACAGAACACUAGCUUAGCUCGAUUUUUGCAUGCAUUCAUACAGAUGAAGCACAGGAUAAUAAAUCGUACAAGCCCACAUAUACGCAUUCUACAGGAAUAUAGGAAUAGGAGCAUAGAAACUGCAUCUGUGUGACUGUCUACAAUCAUCACAGGCUUGAGCACAACCUGCUCACGAAAAGACAUAGACACACUAUACUUGCUACGUACUCCACUAGCUAAUUCAACUCAGUGAUACUCUCCUCGUCUUUCUCCUCGGAGAUGGCAGCCAGCUCCAGCUCGGAGGACAGAUACAGCGACUCCAUUGCCGGGAUGUAGUCAUCGUCACAGAAGAAUGGCCUAGGAGGAAUUUGCAAACAAUCAACACCACCUUCAAGCAUCUCUAUCACCUCGCUCAUCAUCGGUCGGUCACAAGACCUCAUCUGGAUGCACCACAAUCCAACGAUGCAGAGCUUCUUCUCCAACUCAUGCAUGUCGGCGGCAGCGGUGAUCUCACCUGUUUCUUGUCGGGUCAGCUGACGGUACACUCGUGAUGGAUAGUAUGCCUGGCUUGAAUUCUCUGCAUUCGGAUCAGCAUUCCUUCUUCCUCCGGCCAUCUCCAAUAGUAGCAUCCCGAAGCUGUAAACGUCGGACUUGCUUGAUAUAACACCAAAGCUCCGAGAGAUCAUCUCAGGGGCAAUGUAACCUACUGUUCCUCGUGCAGCGCUCACCGGCACAAAGCUCUUGUCCCUUGGGUAUAGCCUUGCGAGACCAAAAUCUGCAACUUUUGGAACAAAGUUCUUGUCUAGAAGGAUGUUGUGUGGCUUGAUGUCAAAGUGUAGAAUCUGCAGAUCACACCCCUGAUGCAGGUAGUUGAUUCCUCUGGCUAUGCCCAACGCGAUUUCAUUUAGCUUAUCCCUGGAGAAACUCUUGUCGGAUGAGAAGAUGUACUUGUCAAGAGAACCCCGAGGCAUGUACUCGUAGACAAGCGCUCUUCUCAUUUCUUCAGAGCAGAACCCUACCAGGCGCACCACAUUGACAUGGUGGAUCCGGCCAAUGGUAGAGACCUCACUGAUGAACUCUUCUCCGUUGCAGUUGGAGUUGCCAUUUAGCAUCUUGACGGCAACAUGGAUAUUGCCCGGGAGCAAUACGCCUUUAUACACAGUCCCAUAGCUUCCUUGGCCUAGCCUGUCUCUGAAAUGGCUUGUGAUUGCAAUGAUGUCUGUGUAGCCAUACCUCAUUGGGCUGAGCAUCUCUUGCAUUCGGAGGAACUUCUCAACUGCAUCGAUUGUGAUCCUUGCUUUCCAGUAUUUGUGGGAAAGGAAGGUUAAUACAACAAGCGGCGCCAACAGGAACCUGCAUAGUACUACAUAAAAACAAGUUUGUAGGGUUGUUUAGGAUUGGUUUAACCUUUGAAUAUAAUAGGAUCCUGAAGUACCUGCAAUCCAAGUCAGAAUGGACAUGGCUGGUCCUGUUCCGUAAAUUGCAAACUCGUAUGCAACACGAGGCAAUUUAACUGGAGCCAUUAUGCACUGCCAGAAAGGCCCAUACGCUAAAAGGAUUGCUAGAAGUCGAUUUUUGAUGUAUAUAUCAGACGAUGGCACCAUUGUUUGACGAAAUAUGCUGCAGGACAAUGCCAUGGUGAAAACGGAAAUAAAAUUAAGGUCCUCACAAGGUUUUGUUGGUACAAAUGGGAUGAAAAUACCUUACCUAACGGACUCUGCCAGGCAUGCUCUAAAAUCAAAGUGAUAUGUCCCUGAUGAAGAAGAAAUUCCAAUGGCAAACCCUUUCCUCAUGUAUUUCAGGACAUCAGCAUAGCUUAAGCUUGCAUUGAUAGACGCUCCCCUGUCAUCCAGAGGUGUCAUGCCCAGGUACCCACAAGAAGGCUCUAGGCUCUCAACAUAAACAGUUUCUGACUCCGAGCCAGUCAGCACGUAGACGAAGGAAUGGCUGGUGCUCAGGCAAGCGACGGGUUUGUACCUGACAUUCCUCGUUAUCUCCUUGGAACAAUUCACAAAUGCAGCCCACCUAUUUGUAAAAGGGGCCAGUUCAAUUACUUGGACUCCGUCACUGGUAGGGGCCAUGGAUAUGCGCUCGUGUGGAGGUUGAUGCUGCCGCCGCGGAAGAGGGCAGCUGCUGUUAUGUGAAUUCAGCAAGUCUGUGUCAACGACGACGAAAAGGCUCCAAUGGAUAAUGCGAGUCACGUAGUAUGUUGCAUUGUUGAUGCGAAUUGUGGCCUUGGUGUCGCUGCAAACCAGCUCGUGAGAUUUAUAGCCGCAAUCAGGUGGAUCGCCGUGCCGGCGGAACGGAGGGGAAACGUUCUUGAGAUGGCCCCAGGAGAAGGGAGGACACUGCGCUGUCUGCGCUGCCUCCUCGGGCCCGUACAUCUGCCCUUCAACUUGAAGGAGAGCUGCAAGCACAGACAAGGCAGUUAGCGCCUGCAGGGCAGUGGAAGUAGAACGACGAAAUGCACCAGCCACCGCCAUGGCAGACAGCCAGACACAGACAGUUACUGUUCGACUAGCUAGCUCUAGCUGCCGCCCAAGUUACCAAGUUGAUUAGCAAAGCUAGUUGACGCGGGUGAUUACCUGCUAAGUACUGCACUGACCUACAUUCAGAUGUUGACUGGAGUAAUCCAAUUCUUAAUCGCAGUACAGUUUUGAUUUGAUCUUUAACUUCUUCCAGUAAGUCAAAUGCACUGACCUGUGCAUUAUUGGUCUAGACAACCUACAAUGUCAGGCUAACUUUUCUUUUCUGAAACCGAGGCAGGAAAUGCAAUUAAUAUUUGUAAACAAGAAAAAUGGGCUCCAGAAUAACAGCGCGGAGCUCAAAGCGGGUACACACGUUGUCAUGUUCUUGUCUAUCAAACAGCAAGCAAACGAUUAGCGACCAUAAGAACUUCAGACAAACCGAAUAUACUAACAAACUCCUGCCUAACAAGGACACCUGUACUGGUUUUCUCUCAAUCUUAAUAGAUUUGGCCGGCGUUUCCUUUGCCAGCCCAGCGAAAAAUAUAUAGAUCAUAAAAAUGUUUGUUUUUAGCACCGACUGCAGAAUACAAGUGCAGACUGCCCAUGAUUUCUACUGACUGCGGAUUAGAACGGGAAGAAUUUCAACAGGCAGAACCGAAAGCACAUUUGCAUAUAAACUACUUACCCCGGCCGGCAGUAUUUCCGUAGUGUUUCAAUUGACUAUUGCUGAAGACGACUUGACUGCAGCAAGCCAGCAAGUUCCCAUUGGACUUAGACAAGUCCACAACCUCAGUCUUCUUUAUAUGAUGAUAUAGCUUGCCAACUUUACAAGAGUUUAUUUCUGUAGAAGAUACAUGUUUCAUGAGGUUAGUUAUACAAAUUAGUGAGAAUAGUAGUAUGACUGAAGAAAAUAGGACAUCCCUGAGUUGAGACAAGAAUAGUCAAAAUAAGGAUCACAGUACAGCUGUCAUUGGCAAAAAAACAACUACAGAACUUUCCAAGCGCUACAAGUCUAGAUCACAGCAGGAGUUCCAUUGGAAGCUAGAAUCCAUGCUCAAAAGGCAGACAUUAUGACAAGAACGAUACCAAUCCUCCAGAGGUUGAAGCAAAUAGGUGAUCAUGUCUUAUACUCACAGCCUUCCCUUCACACCUUCAUCUCCAUAACAUUACAAUGAUUUCCCUAAACUUCUUUUCACAGUGUUGCUGCUCUCUCUUCUCAACUAUGAACCCUAUUCCACGAAAGCAUGGGAUGAAGAAGGCUUCUUAAAGAGUUGUUCAUCACAGCGGUGCAGCAAACAUGGACCAGAUAUACGGUUCCCCUUCAGGCUUUCAACCCACGAUCCAUCAUGUGGCAUGCCUGGCAUGCAGUUGUCAUGCUCUGGGCAUGAUACAAUCCUGGAUCACCCUGUCUUAGGCUCCUGCAAAGUGACCGCAAUAUAUUACAGGUACCGUGUCAUAAAUGCCAUCCUCCUUGUGGAAUCAUCAUCAAAUUGCCCACUUCAGAAGCUCGCUUCAACAAAUGUAUCAACUGCCGUGUACGAACCUCAAAAGAAAGAUGGUGCAACCAUAGUAGGGUGUUCAAAAGAUUCCAUAGCAACAAAUCAAGAUGGUAUUGUUGGCCCAAGAUCUUGCCUCAACCUAAGUAGUCAUGGAAGCCAGUUAUGGUAUUUGGUGCCUCCUCGAACAUACAUGUCUGCUCUUCCACCGGACUGCACAGUGGUUGCGAAAGGCAUCCCAAUACCCUACAAUUAUGAUAGAAAUGGUCCAAAUGAAAAUCAAUACCUCGACAUCUCAAACUUAAAAGAAAAGGCAAAUAAAGUCAUCAACUUUGGUGAAACAGCAUUUACUUGGCACCUUAACAAGAUUACCAAUGCUUGUCAGGGGUGUGAGUGGAAUGGUCAUCACUGCGGAUUUAGUUCACAAAGGGGCCAGGCAUUCUGCCAGCAUCAAGGUAUCCUUCAUCUCAUAUUUUUUUUUCACAAGGGAAUUCUACAAGUUAUUUCUUCUAUUUAUUGUAUUAAUAAUUAUGUUAUGGAAUUCAUAAUUAUCAAGCUUUUUUUAAACAAUUCCUACAGGAUUUUUACCUAAAGGAAGACCUUGAUGAAAACUGUAAUCGUCUUGGAAAAGUUCUAAUAACUAGUACGAAAAAAUGAACCAAACCAGUGGAAGGACAUGCCAAAUUGGACCUUCCUCAAUAAAUAAAUAAAUAAACCAAACUUUCUCUCCAUCUCCAGGUUUUUAGUUAUCUUGACUUGCGUAUUUUAGAGCACUGGAAUUAAUGCAGAUCACUCUAACCAAGGUCAUUUCAUGCUAAAUACUAUCAUACUAAUUUGGGAUGCCACUCUUCUUACUCAUCAAAAUUGGACUUACCGACUUAGACCCUUGGGUGCUAAUACAGUAGUGCUGACUGACACAAAACUGAUCUAACCAUUAUGAAUUAGAGGUUCCUAACAAAGUUAUAGAAAGUUGUUUUCCCUUAUCUUUGUUAUUACUAAACUUUGAUGUAAACUAUUUUUUUUUCUUCCUUCCUUCAGGUUCACAAGUCAUCCUCAUUGCAGGUAAUGCAGAUAUUCCCUGUUCUUCAAAUUCUCGCCUGUCAGCAACCAAGAUUUUGUGUACUCUUGUUCCAAUAAGAGUUGCUUUGUUCCUUUUUCUUUUUGUUUCAAAAAGCAGAUAUUAGCUCACACCUUGCUUAUCCUAAUGGAACAAACUAAUUUCAUUUACUUUUACACAGCUACAUCCUCAGCAGCCACACUAGUUGUUCUUUUGCUGAUGGUGGGCACAACAAUCUAUCUUUCACUAAAGACAAGAUAUAAUGAAGAGAUACAUUUGAAGGUCGAAAUGUUUCUCAAGACAUAUGGCACAUCGAAACCCACAAGGUAUAGUUUCUCUGAAGUUAAGAAGAUUACAAGACGGUUCAGGGAAAAGAUAGGCCACGGUGGGUAUGGAAAUGUAUACAAGGGUGAGCUACCAAAUGGAGUGCCCGUGGCAGUUAAGAUGCUAGAAAAUUCCAGAGGCGACGGGCAGGAAUUCAUCAAUGAAGUUGCAACCAUUGGAAGAAUCCACCAUGCCAAUGUGCUUCGUCUUUUGGGUUUUUGCUCAGAAGGAACAAGACGCACUUUAAUUUAUGAAUUCAUGCCAAACGACUCAUUGGAGAAAUACAUAUUCUCACAAGGUCCUAACGUGUCACGGGAAUUCCUAGUGCCUGACAAGAUGCUAGAUAUCUCUUUAGGCAUUGCCCGAGGAAUGGAGUACCUACAUCAAGGGUGCAAUCAACGCAUUCUACAUUUCGAUAUCAAGCCUCAGAACAUUUUGCUAGAUUACAGCUUCAAUCCAAAGAUUUCAGAUUUUGGACUUGCGAAACUGUGUGCAAGGGAUCAAAGCAUUGUCACACUGACUGCAGCAAGAGGCACAAUGGGCUACAUUGCACCAGAACUGUAUUCUCGGAACUUUGGGGUGAUAUCUUACAAGUCAGAUGUAUACAGUUUCGGUAUGUUGGUUUUAGAAAUGGUGAGUGGAAGAAGGAAUCUGGACCCAGGUAUUGAUAACCAACAUGAAGUUUAUUUUCUAGAAUGGAUUUAUGAGAAAGUAUUCACUGGGCAGAACUUAUUGAUUGGUACGGAAAUGACACAGGAUGAAAAAUACAAAGUGAGGAAACUGGCAAUUGUGGCACUAUGGUGCAUUCAGUGGAACCCCAAAAACAGGCCAUCAACGACCCAGGUGGUUAACAUGCUAACAGGAAGGUUGCAGGAUCUGCAGAUGCCUCCUAAACCAUUUGUCUCAUCUGCAAGCGAAUCUAUACCAUAAAAAAAUGAAGAUAUCACCACGGUUGGCACAUGUUUUUUUUUUUGGGAAUACGCGAGGAGCGCAUUUUUGUAUUAAGAGGAAUAAAAGUUAUUUACAGACAAACACAAAGCAGCAGGGGACUGAGACAGGAUACAAGCAGGAAAUCAAAGGUGUACGUCUCGCGGUCUGUUUUGGCUACCAAAUUCCCUCCUAAAGAUUGGGAUGGCUUGGUUUGCUUGACGCCAUAGCGUGGCCUCUGCUGCCAUUCCCUUCACGAUGUCCACCCAGGUCCUUUGUUGCUGAUUGAAUAUCCGGCCGUUUCUUUCUUUCCAAAUUGUCCAUGCCACUAGCGUGACUACCGUGUCAAAGCCCCGCCGAAGAUGCUCUCAAAUUCUUAUUCGACUGCUGCAGAGCCAUUGGUAGAAUGAUGGUUCAUCCACCGGCAGACACUCAGGGUGCCCAAUUGCCCUUAACACCCACCACCAAAGUUGUCUGGAUUCUGGGCAGCCAACAAGAAUGUGAUCAAUACUCUCGUCGUGUUGAUCACAAAGUACGCAUCUGUCAAGCCAACAAGAAUGUGAUCAAUACUCUCGUCGUGUUGAUCACAAAGUACGCAUCUGUCAGGAUGUGGUAGGCCACGACGACGUAGUCGAUCCGCUGUCCAGCAUCUGUCCAAUACGACCAGCCAAAGAAAGAAUCAGCAUCUGGGCGGCGCUAGAGAUUUCCAUAUCGGUGCUGAUUGAAAUGGAACACGACCUAGAAAUAAUGCUCUGUAUGCCGACUUGGAGGAGUAUUGUCCUGAGCUGUCCCAUUUCCAACAGAUCACAUCUUGCUCAGAGGGAUUGCAACCAGCAUUUUGCAGAAGUGACCAGAGCUUGAGGUAUUCUCGGAUUGCCUGAACUCCAAGUGCCCCGCUGAUGUCUCUGAUCCAUGCUUUAUUGAGCAGUGCUUCCGCGACCGUCCUGCGUUUGCGGAUUCGAACAGGAACAUGUUCGAAGAUGGAAGGCGCAAUGGCUCGUAUACCUCCCUCCUGCAUCCAGCAAUCCUCCCAGAAGAGGAUACUUCUUCCAUCCCCCAGUUGGCACAUGUUUGAAAGAUAGCCUACGUAUUGCUCAGUGAUCCUGAGUACUAGCUAGCAUGCACCUUACUUGUAAAAUGAAUAGCACAUACAGAAUUGUGCUCAAAGACAAUGACUUGAUAAUUACCUUAUUCUGUGUUCUGUGAUAGCCUUGAUUUAUCUUUAUCAUUCAUAUUAUGUAGCCUCAAACACUGGACCCCUCAUAGGCUGUACAAUGCGUUUGAAAAUUCCUUUGCAUUUCAUUCAGUGCAUCAAUACCAGGUGGGAUCGCAUAAUAGAAGCCUGUAAGGCAGGCGAUUAGCUAUGGCAUGUUGUUCCUUAUUUACUACUACAAUCCUAAAUUGAAACUGAAUCUACAGAUGCGCAUGGGUCUGAGUUUGCUACUACAACCCUAAACUGAAUCUAUAGAUGGGCAUGGGAAUAAGUAGAGUUCACCCAAAAAAAAUUCAAAAGCAGAGCAAAGGAAUUACCUUCAUCGAUGCCAAGGAGAGGACACAGAACUGUCUUAUGAUGAUACUGCAAAAUAAGAUGUAAGGAAAAUUUCACUAUUGCAAAUAUAUUCAUAUAAUCAUGGUGCAUAAAAAUUUAGAGCCAAAACUCUAUCCUACCCCACCAGGGCCAUGUUCGCUGAUACAUUGUGUUGGAUUGCACUGUUUUUAUUUUCAAGAUGUAAUUAUCCAUUAUCUGUUAAAACCACCAACCAGAACUUAUUAUCUUCGUUCAUACUUGCAGGUUCGCAUGUGGAAGUCAUUUCAGGUACUGCAGUACUCAAACCUACCUUUCUAUUCAAAAGAGAAAAGAAACAAUGUUAUCAGUACAUAUAAAUUCUUAUUGCUAGCUAUUCUGAGUCUUCUGACUCAGCAUUCUUCUGCUAAAAAAUACACCACCUGCUCUUACAGUACCCAUCAGACAAUCACAAUCAGUUGAUUACUAGCCACAACUUUCAAUCCUAAUGCAAUGUGCUAAUUUCCCCUUCUCUGUUAAUUCAGCUACAUCAUUGGUAGCCGCAUUUGUUGUUCUUUCGUUCAUCAUGGCCACAGCACUCUAUCUUUCACUGAAGUCAAGGUAUGAUGAAGAGGUACAUUUGAAGGUUGAAAUGUUCCUCAGGACAUAUGGCACAUCGAAGCCCACAAGGUACAGUUUCUCUGAUGUCAAGAAGAUAACGAGAUGCUUCAAGGAACAAUUAGGUCAGGGUGGAUUUGGAAGUGUAAACAUUGUCCGCCUUCUGGGAUUCUGCUCUGAAGGAACACGACACAUUCUUAUCUAUGAAUUCAUGCCUAAUGAAUCAUUGGAGAAAUACAUAUUCUUUCAUGACCCUAAUACUUCUCAAGAACUCCUGGCACCAAAAAAGAUGUUAGAUAUUGCCUUAGGCAUUGCCCGAGGAAUGGAGUACCUGCAUCAAGGAUGCAACCAGCGAAUCCUCCAUUUUGAUAUCAAGCCUCAUAAUAUCUUGCUGGACUAUAACUUCAAUCUGAAGAUUUCAGACUUUGGUCUUGCAAAGCUGUGUGCUAGGGACCAAAGCAUUGUUACCUUGACCAAAGCAAGAGGCACAAUGGGCUACAUUGCACCAGAGCUAUAUUCUAGGAACUUUGGGGAGAUAUCUUACAAGUCAGACGUAUACAGUUUUGGCAUGCUUGUGUUAGAAAUGGUUAGUGGAAGGAGGAACUCAGACCCAAGUAUUGAGGACCAGAAUGAGGUCUACUUUCUGGAGUGGAUCUAUGAGAAAGUAAUUACUGGGCAGGACUUUGUACUUAGUGGGGAAAUGACAGAAGAAGAUAGACUGAAGGUUAGACAGAUGGCCCUCGUGGCACUUUGGUGCAUUCAGUGGAACCCAAGAAACCGUCCCUCGAUGACGAAGGUUGUAAACAUGCUAACAGGAAGGUUGCAGAAUAUACAGGUGCCCCCUAAGCCAUUUGUUUCAUAUGAAAGCCAUGCUGUGCCAUAAAUCAUACUAGUAAUGUUAUGGGAGUUAUGCUUAGUUGACGUGUUGAAAUAGUAAUGCCUAGAAAUUGCAUAAUAUGCACCUUGACUGCACAUUGAUUAUCUGUAUGAGGUAUGAAUCAUCGCUCUUUAUUACCAUGUAAUAAAAGAAAUAAGAAACACAUCAGUUGAUGUGAUUACCUUGUUCAGUUGUUGCUAUGAUAUAUCUCCAUCCAACCACCGUGUGCAGAGUACUCCUCGUUGCACUAUUUCAGUAAGAUGCCCUCCUCGUCCGUUUCAUGGGUCCAUAACUAGUGGUUUGCAACAAAAUCCUGCAAGGAAAUUGAAUUAUGGCAAUUUUUCCCAUGCAGAACUAAUAUAAAAUAUCGAAGCAAAGAGUAUUAUUUUUGUCUGUUUGUCCGUGCGAACGGCUGACUAGGGUAACAUUCAUACCCUGAAUUCGUCACUGAAUAAAGAAGUAGAUUCAUAUCCUAAAUUACUCACUGAACUAAGAAGUAUAAUAAGUUAAGUUGGCUUGGUCACAUUCCUAUCCAUCCCAUUCAAAAAGUCAGGGCCCGCCUAUCUAUCUGAUGGAAAUCUCACAUCAAACAGGAUGCUGCUGGGCAAGCAAUCGAGGAGCUACGAAUUUGCAAUGUGAAGAGAUGAAUGGGCAUGGACUCGACUAGUGAAUAAGUACACUUUAAUAAAAACUUAGGAAAAAUAAUCAAAAGCAGAGGAAACGGGCUACCUUUAUCAAUGCAAGGAGGGGGCAGCGAACCGAACAACCACCGGAUCAGGAGAUCUCCCUGAGUUCUGUCAAUCCUGCGGCUCUGGGGCCUGGAUUUGCGGCUCGGGUCGCACAAGGACACAGGGAGAAGGCGACGCAUAGCCCGGGCAACGCGCAUUGACGGCGGAGCGCAAAGCAGAGACAUCGCCGGGGAAGCAGAGGUGGCCGGGAGUCGGUGGGAUCGCCGGCGACGGCGAAGGGUUCGUGGCAAGAGGGGGAGGAAAGGGGAUGGAAAAAGUACACCGAAGGUUCCUCAACUUGUCAUCGGGAUACGAAAACA
rnacentral:lncRNA from 1 species